rnacentral:rRNA from 1 species
UACGAAGGGGGCUAGCGUUGCUCGGAAUCACUGGGCGUAAAGCGCACGUAGGCGGACUGUUAAGUCGGGGGUGAAAUCCUGGAGCUCAACUCCAGAACUGCCUUCGAUACCGGCGAUCUUGAGUCCGGGAGAGGUGAGUGGAACUCCGAGUGUAGAGGUGAAAUUCGUAGAUAUUCGGAAGAACACCAGUGGCGAAGGCGGCUCACUGGCCCGGUACUGACGCUGAGGUGCGAAAGCGUGGGGAGCAAACAGG